AGAGCAGGACUUAUCGGGAACGCCCUGCUUUGUUUGCGAGAGCAGGACUUAUGGGGGAACACCCUGUUUGCAAGCAUGAAGUCCUCUACAGACCGCCCUGCUCCACCUUAUCUGUUGGCUCUCCACUUGCCUCAACUGAUAGCAGAGGAGAGAGAAUAGGAGCAUGGACGUGGAGUGGGGCUGGAUCCGGAGUGAUAGAUGUGAGGGGCUGAGUUGAUGCUUUUCUCUAUUUUCAUGCAUGUUUGAACAUUUCUAUAAGAAGCAAAGUUGAGGCAUAUUAUCAUAUAGAUGGAGAAAUAAAGACUGACCUAGGGAUAACACACAAGAAGUAUAGAAGUAUUUUCUGGUUUGAAUCAACCUUUGGAUGUCUCACUUUUUGGAGUGUAGAGGGGUGGAGCCUGGCUUCAGGGCUGUGCUGGAAGACAGAGGGUUGGCAUUUCCUCAGUCUGUCUGGCUGUAGGCACGAGACUCUUUUGACACAGGAGGCAGUAUCAAUUUAGACCCAGAGAAAUCUCAGCAAUCAUGCCACAAGCAGCCGCUUUUCUCCAGAGCCUUGUCUGUAUGUGUAGUUUCCAGGACAUGGUUGGGGCAGCCAAGCCGAGGAGCUGCUGGACCUACAGAACUGCGAGUCCCACAGUUUCCCUGUGGAUUCUGAGUGACACGGCGGCCCUGGCUCGAACCAGCCCCACCGUUUCCCCGUGGAUUCUGAGUGACAUGGCAGCCCUGGCCUGAGCCGGCAGGACAGUCGCUGGCUGCCUGUGCUCCUGUGGACCCAGGGCCUGUCUCAAGGCCUGCCUGCUGUCAGUCAAGCAUGCUGGCGGAUGCGGGGCCCUUUCCCGCCACACGUCCAAUCGUGAUCAAAGGAGGAUGAGCAUGGAGAAAAGUGUCCUUCCAGUUCAUUCAGAGAGCAACCUGCUGCAUGAUGACUUCACUAGUACAUGGAAUGGAAGGGAAGGGUUUCCUCUUAAGCCAUUUGCAGCAUUUCACCCUGUGCCUUUUCUGCAUGAAUCUGGAAUCCCCACACUUGUAGAACAUCCAACAAGCUUCCUUCCGAGUUCCUUAGACUCAGGUCUAGGAAUCAGAUACUUUUUAUGUAUUAUCGAUGGCAUCUUAUAUGAGUAAACUGCAUCCCUCAUGCAGUCUUGCAAUCCGACAGUUUCAGCCUAUGAAGGUUUUGUUGCUGGCGGGGACAGCUGGCUGAUUGUUUGAACCCUAGGGCAGAAAAGCACACUGAAAAGGCGGAACAUUUAGCUUUCAGUAAACUCGUUACAUCUUACACUUUAUUUACGAUGGUGGUUUACUCAGACUCUAAAGUUAUUUUCUUAUUUAUUUUGCAGAACAUUCUGAUGUAAAAUCCCAUGGAUUUUACGGUGUGCUGCACAGACCCACGGCACAGUGAGUGGAAAGUCAUCCAAGCGUCUAGUCUUCCUGGGUCAGCAGUAUAGAAUGGGUUCAGGAGUGUGUGACUCUUGUACACUUCAAAAGCCUGGAGACAAGUACUUCCCAGCUGUGCGGCAGAAGUGGGCCCUGGGUACAGAGCCGGAAGAUUCCAGAUUCUCUGCAUCGCUGACCCAGAGCUGCCUCCAUAUCCCUGGCUGCUCAGAGAGGCCUGAAGGCCCCAAGAGCAGGUGCAGGGGAGCGGGUGGCUCUGGCUGUUAUAUAUUGAGGCAGGGCCGCUGGCUCCUGCUUCGACCUCUCUGCCUUUGAACUGGUUGUCCUGGGACAGGAGACAGGUUGCUCUUUUCCCUCAACGCUACCCACGAACUUCUUUGAGAGAAUACUGUAUGCAGCCAGCACUAAAAUGACAGAGUUCUCAUGCACCAUUCUGCUUAAUUGUGUUGGCGAUCUUGCUUGACUGCAUUGGAGGAUAAAAAACAUACCAGCGUUUGCUUAAAUCCAGACUCCUAUGCUGAUUAUUCUCAUUUUUGGUUUCAAUGCAGCACUUCUUUUAUUUGAACAGCAGCACCACGUUCUGUUCUUAGCUGAGGGCAGCACACAGCAGGUGGUGGAAUAACCCUGCCCGCCACGGUAGGAACAGAGGCAUAGGAACUAUUAGCAAUUCAAAUGGCUGAGCUCCCUCGAACCUCCGAGUUUUACAUGUGUAUCCGGGAUAACUAUGGGUGUUUGUACAAGAACAAACAUCAGGACUGGGGUAUAAUUUUCCCAAAGUAGUCACUCAAACUACCGUGGGUCAGAGAUCGUAGAACAGGAAGCCCUCGUGGACGUCAACAACAAAAUAAGGGAAAUUAAAUGUAUGCUGGAUGCAAGUGGGUGUGCCAAAUGAUGCGUCCUUGAAAUCAUCUCUCCUUGUGACCUGUUCCUUUUCUCUACCCCAGAGACAAUGUGCCCAGACCAUGGUGGAUUUUGGAUUCUUCUUGAAGGCGGGUUCCUAGGUUGUGGGGAGUUGGCUCUGCUGGUGGGGGAGGCCAGGGCUCCGUUCAUCGCCUUGCUGAGUUCCCUGUGACUGCAGGCUUCCCCCAGGCUGCAGGAAUAUAUCACCACGCCAUUGUCACAGGAGCUUGGGUAGCUGAAAAGUGGCCAAGGGACUCGAACAUCUGUAUUUUCUAUGGAAAGAUAAUAGAAUUCAUUUUCCAAUUGUUCAUCGAGGUAAAAAUGCUGAAUUCAAUCUCCAUGUAUGACACUUGCAGGGAAAUUUGAAACGGGGAUGUUCAGGACGGCUGUGGGGGUUUCCGUGCUAAUGCCAUUUUACAGACUCACUGGCCGUACCCCCGCCUUGGUACCCGAGGCAUUUCAGUGACAUGCGAACCUGGAAGAUGAAGAGCAGGUCUCUCCUACACUGAAAUGGGUUCCUGCUGGCACAGUGCAUCGCUCCUCUGCACAUAGGUUUAUAUUCAAGGUUGGAAAAGAGAGAGCUGCCCAGCCUCAGGAGUGUACCCACCAGGAAGUCCGCUGCUGCUGGUCGUCCAUGGGAAGAGAGCCCACAGGCAUCUGCCACAUGACCGUGGUGGCAUCACUGGCUGAGGAGGCACAGCCCUGCCAGAUGUUGUACAGUCUUUGCCUUUAAUUCUGGUCCUUCCUGCUGGCUCCCCGUCAUCAUGUGACUCUUUUUCCUCCUUCUUGGGUAACGGAUGAGAGCAAUGAUACAGGAGUUAAGAAGAAAUGACUUAGGCAGAUAGUGAGGGUAGGGAAGUCCUCGGUAAGGCUUUCCUUUUAAUGAAAAGCAGCCCCAAAUCAUUUUCCUUUCUAACAAAGAGCAGCCUGUAAAAUCAAGCUGUGGCAUAGAUGCGGGCAGUUGUGCCAAUCAUGUUCAAAAUGGCGGCUCCAUCUUCCCUUCUGUCAGGCAGCUGUACAGUGAGGAGCAGACAAGAUGGCGCCGGCCAAGGGGAAAGUUCAUUUGCGUAAUAAGAUCUGGGUGGGGCGGCCAGUCUUCCCCGAGCGCUACCUAAACGUCAUACGUGAUCGAACCAAUCUGUGAGCCCCACGUAAAUCAGACACCGCCUCUUCAAGCUGGACUAGAAAAAUCCAGCGCAUCCACCUGCUGGCCUAUUCCUCUGGGAAGUUCCCUCUCUCGCUCUCCAGAGAGAGCUGUUUCCUUUCUCUUUUUCUUGCUCCUAAACUCCUCGUGUGUGUCCGUGUCCUAAAUUUUCCUGGCACGAGAGGAUGAACCCCAGGUAUUUACCCCAGACAAGGUAGCCACUUGGGUAACAGUCUGUCAAGUUUACCCCAAGGCCAUGCAGUUUUGUUGUUGGGGGGAUUUGCAUAUUUCUUUUGUAAAAAUAUUGUUACAAUUAAACCCAGUUGAGUAAAGUGUGCCCAUGGAA